GGGGCGUGGCCGGCCGGGAAGGGGGCGUGGCCGUGCGCGCGUUGCGUUGCGCCGCGAGCCGCUCCGCGAGGGCGCCCCCGGGCUCGGCGCGCGCGCGCGGGGGGGGCACGAGCGGGGCCCCCCCCCCCCCCACACCCCCCUCUCUCCUCCCCCUCCUUUUUAAAAAUUUAAUUAUUUUUAAAAACGAAAAUUCAUUUCUGUGGGGAAACCCCCCCCGAAUAUCGGCCCGAAGCGAGGGGGGUGGCGGAUUUCCCUUCCCUUCCCCCCCUUUUCCCUCAGGGCUCGGCGGGACAGCCUGGAGCUCCGGAGCCCCCCCAGCCUGAGAAGAGCCCCCCAAAAACCCCCAAAUUCCCCCCAAAAAUCCCAAAUUACCCCCAAAUUCCCCCCAAAACCCCCAAAUUCCCCCAAAAAAACCCCAAAUUCCCCCCAAAAUCCCAAAUUACCCCCAAAAAUCCCAAAUUUCCCUCCAAAUUUCCCCCAAAUUCCCCCCCAAAAAACCCAAAUUCCCCCAGGACCCCCCAAUUCCCCCCAGGACCCCCUAAAUCCUCCCAAAAUUUCCAUUUUUUGGGGUUUGGGACCCCCAGGACCCCCCAAAUUUCCAAUUUUGGGGUUGGGGACCCCAGGAUUUUCCAGUUUUUUGGGGUUGUGGGCCCCCAAAAUUUCCGGGGUCCCCUCUAAAUUUCCAUUUUUUGGGGUCAGGACCCCCAGAUCUCCCCAAAUUUUGGGGUUUUUGGGGUGGGACCCCUCCAAUCCCCCCCAGAACCUUUCGAAUUUUGGAUUUUUGGGGUCAGGACCCCCAAAAUUCCCCCAGAAGCUCCAAAAUUUCAGAUUUUUGGGGCUGGGACCCCCAAAUCUGCCCCAAAUUUCGGAUUUUUGGGGCUGGGACCCCCAAAUCUGCCCCGAAUUUUGGAUUUUGGUGCUCAGGCCGCCCAAAUCUGCCCCGAAUUUUUGAUUUUUGGGGUUGAAGCUCCCAAAUCCCCUCCAAAUUUCUGAUUUUGGGGUUCAGCCGCCCCCAGUUCCCCUUUCCCUCUCCAAAUUUGAGAUUUUGGGGAUCAGGACCCCCAAACCCCCCCAAAUUUUUGAUUGACACGGUCAGGCUCCCUCGAAAUUCCGUUUUUUGGGGUCAGAACCGCCCAAAUUCCCAUUUUUUUGGGUCAGAAUUCCCCAAAUUAACAUUUUUCGGUUUCAGCCCUCACCAGAAUCCCCCAAAUUCCCAUUUUUUGGGUCAGAACUGCUCAAAUUCCUAUAUUUUGGCAUCUAAACCCCCCAAAUUCCCAUUUUUUGGCUCAGAACCUCCCAAAUUCCCAUUUUUUUGGUCUAAACCCCCCCCAAUUCUCAUAUUUUGGGGUCAGAACCCCCAAAUUCCCAUUUUUGGUGUCUAAAUCUCCCAAAUUCCCAUUUUUGGGGUCAGAACCGCCUCAAAUUAACAUUUUUCGGUUUCAACGCCCCCAGAACCCCCCAAAUUCCCAUUUUUGGGGUCCAAAUUCCCAUUUUUGGGGUGAGAACCUCCGAAAUUCCCAAUUUUGCAGUCAGAACCCCCUAAAUUCAGAAUUUUUGGGUCCAAACCCCCCAAAUCCCCAUUUUUGGGGUCAGAACCCCCCAAAAUCCUCUCAAAUCCCCAUUUUUCAGUCCCACCCCCCCAAACCCCUCCCAAAUUUUAAAUUCCCGUGACCCCACCCCCUCCCCUAAUUACCAUU
rnacentral:lncRNA from 14 species